GCCCAACAGCAAGCCUGCAGCCAAUCAAUGGGAUCAAUGCCUGUUUAGGUUGGAGAAGUCUACAGAAAGCGGCUCUUAGAUGGUGUGGCUCUCAGCACCUGGAGACUCUCCUGCACCUGGCGCCAGGCAGCUCUGCCACGUGCGAAGGCAAUGAUGUCAGCAGGAUGGCGGCGGAGCCGCCUUCCCAGGAAAGGCCGAAGGGACGCUGGAAUGGGGCCCCGGGGGUCAGCCCAGUGGCGCAGGUGGAAGAUCAUUUUUUGUGAUAAGCCUUAAAUCCUAAUCUUGGCCAAAUACAGAAUGUUCUUGGAACCCUCCUGACUGCCUACCUGGAACAUGGCUUCUUAUUUUUAUUUGUAACCCCAGCUGGAGAGGAGGAGGGGAAGGUAAGAGACUAAUCUCUCUGCAGAAUCUGUGUGUCGGGGCUUGUCGUCGUCACUCCUGCUGGUGAGUAACGUGCUCCUAACUAGGACGUGGUGUCAGGAUUGUCAAAGUACAAGCAAACAACAUCAGAUCUCUGAUGUGUCGCACGCUUGACCCUUUACGAAAUGCCCGUCUCUGUUUAGAUGCAUCACCCCGGUUUUCAUUUUAUUAUGUAAUGGUUGCGUAUUCUGAGACACUUUUGAGCUUUUUCUGUCGCAUUUCCCUUUCCUCGUGACAAUGGCCAUUUUGUGAUUCCUGUGCCUGAGGAAGGGCACAGAAUGGAAACGGUGGGUGAACUGAGCAGCGUCAGCCUCGCUGGGACCGCGAGACCCUGGCUGGUGGGAAGGAGGAGCAGGAGCCUGCACUACGGGACCUGCAGAGCUACAGCAUGGCCCAGCCGGAGACGGGCAGUAACUGGGAGUGUGUUUUUAAAGAUUUGUUUUAUAUAUUUGAAAGGAAGAGUUAGAGAAAGAAGAGAGAGAGAGAGAGAGAGAGAGAGAGACAGAGAGAGAGAGACAGAGAGAGACAGAGAGAUGUCUUCCAUUUGCUGGUUCACUCCCUAAGUAGCUACAAGGGCCGGGGCUGGGCCAUGCUGAAGCCAGGAGCCUGGAGCUUCAUCUGGGUCUCCUGUAUGGUUUCAGGGGCCCAAGGACUUGGGCCGUCUUCCGCUGCUUUUCCCAAGCCAUUAGCAAGGAGCUGGAUCAGAAGUGGAAUAGCCGGGACUCACAUGGGCGUCCAGUUGGGAUGCCGGUGCUGCAGGCGGUGGCUUAGCGCAGCCUGGGAACCGUCACCUCUGCUUCUGUGAGGUCCGCCUUUCUGGAAUCCCCACACAGGUGACACGGGACAACAUUUCUCCUUGGUGAUCCACGUGCCAGUGAACUCAGUCGAACUUUGCCCGGGUGCACACCGGGACCCACAUGUCACACGGGACCCAGUACAGCGUGCAGUUAGGGCUUUUCUUCAUGAGAGCACUUGCAGAAGCCUCAAGAAGAUGAAAACCUUCAGGCAGCUCAGCUCGAGGGCCCUGCUCUUGACCUUCCCCGGGUGGGACUGCAGGGGACCACACUUCAGCGGCAGACGCCAGGGCCGGGUGCUGGGGCCGGCAGGAUGCAGCAGGCCUGUGUGAGGAACCUGUGGACCCUCCUGCUGGGCCCUGCCGGCCGUGGCUCUCCUCCCGGGCAGUGGCUGGCCCCAGCUUCCUGGGGCUCACUCGCUGCAACAGCUUCUGGCUCCGUGUGGUCCCCACCGCUCCUGGCACUGGGGGUCGGUGGGGAGGCCACAGGGACUGGUUUGGGGGCUGGGCUGGGACUAGGGCCCUGUAACUCCUUCAGCU